GUGCUUGCUUCGGCAGCACAUAUACUAAAAUCGGAGUGAUACAGAGAAGAUUAGCAUGGCCCCUGCACAAGGAUGACAUGCACAUUCGUGAAAUGUUACAUAUUUUU